AUGCAGGGACGAGGGAGAGGAGGAGUCCUGCUUCCCCGGCGUGCAUCCUCUCUCUCGGAACGACACCCAACCUCAAGCGAGAGAUGCAUGUGUGGGUGGCAGCAGAUCAACCUCCUUCUCAACCAAUGUCAGGCAUCCUCUGUGGAUGAUGACGACAACCAGGGCAUCCACCGCCACGACGACACCCCGCACAUGGUCCAACUCGGCUACAACCUCCUCUACCGCGCGACUGCGGCCGCCGUCGUGUUCGGCAUCGACUACAACCUCCUCUCCAGAUCUUUGGUUCAUUAUACUGACUGCAUGCCACCUCUGUCAUCGCUGCCCCGUCUCCCGCACCAUCGGCACCGCCCCUCCGCCUUCUCCUUUGAUGCUGUAGUGGAUUCUUAG
rnacentral:rRNA from 1 species